CGGCGUGCCUAAUACAUGCAAGUCGAACGCAUUGUGGUUGAAAUGAUAUGAAGAACUUGUUCAGAUUUGAUUUCAACAUUGCAAUGAGUGGCGAACGGGUGAGUAACACGUGGAAACCUACCUCUUAGCAGGGGAUAACAUUUGGAAACAAAUGCUAAUACCGUAUAAUAAUUAAAACCGCAUGGUUUUAGUUUAAAAGAUGGUCCUGCUAUCACUAAGAGAUGGUCCCGCGGUGUAUUAGUUAGUUGGUGAGGUAAUGGCUCACCAAGACAAUGAUACAUAGCCGAGUUGAGAGACUGACCGGCCACAAUGGGACUGAGACACGGCCCAUACUCCUACGGGAGGCAGCAGUAGGGAAUCUUCCACAAUGGACGAAAGUCUGAUGGAGCAACGCCGCGUGUGUGAUGAAGGGUUUCGGCUCGUAAAACACUGUUGUAAGAGAAGAAUGACAUUGAGAGUAACUGUUCAAUGUGUGACGGUAUCUUACCAGAAAGGAACGGCUAAAUACGUG
rnacentral:rRNA from 1 species